GGUCCUGGUCUUGGUCCUGGUCUUGGUCCUGCUCCUGGCCCUGCUCUUGGCCCUGCUCCUGGUCCUGGUCUUGGUC
rnacentral:miRNA from 1 species